CCUACGGGGGGCAGCAGUGAGGAAUAUUGGUCAAUGGACGCAAGUCUGAACCAGCCAUGCCGCGUGCAGGAAGACGGCUCUAUGAGUUGUAAACUGCUUUUGUACGGGGGUAAACGCAGAUACGCGUAUCUGUCUGAAAGUAUCGUACGAAUAAGGAUAGGCUAACUCCGUGCCAGCAGCCGCGGUAAUACGGAGGAUUCAAGCGUUAUCCGGAUUUAUUGGGUUUAAAGGGUGCGUAGGCGGUCGGAUAAGUUAGAGGUGAAAUCCCGAGGCUCAACUUCGGAAUUGCCUCUGAUACUGUUCGACUAGAGAGUAGUUGCGGUAGGCGGAAUGUAUGGUGUAGCGGUGAAAUGCUUAGAGAUCAUACAGAACACCGGUUGCGAAGGCAGCUUACCAGGCUACUUCUGACGUUGAGGCACGAAAGCGUGGGGAGCAAACAGGAUUAGAUACCCCAGUAGUC
rnacentral:rRNA from 1 species